AGUCGAGGGGCAGCAUCAUCAAAGCUUGCUUUGAUGGAUGGCGACCGGCGCACGGGUGAGUAACACGUAUCCAACCUGCCGACAACACUGGGAUAGCCUUUCGAAAGAAAGAUUAAUACCGGAUGGUAUAGUUUUCCCGCAUGGGAUGAUUAUUAAAGAAUUUCGGUUGUCGAUGGGGAUGCGUUCCAUUAGGCAGUUGGCGGGGUAACGGCCCACCAAACCUACGAUGGAUAGGGGUUCUGAGAGGAAGGUCCCCCACAUUGGAACUGAGACACGGUCCAAACUCCUACGGGAGGCAGCAGUGAGGAAUAUUGGUCAAUGGACGAGAGUCCGAACCAGCCAAGUAGCGUGAAGGAUGACUGCCCUAUGGGUUGUAAACUUCUUUUAUACGGGAAUAAAGUGAGCCACGUGUGGCUUUUUGUAUGUACCGUAUGAAUAAGGAUCGGCUAACUCCGUGCCAGCAGCCGCGGUAAUACGGAGGAUCCGAGCGUUAUCCGGAUUUAUUGGGUUUAAAGGGAGCGUAGGCGGGUUGUUAAGUCAGUUGUGAAAGUUUGCGGCUCAACCGUAAAAUUGCAGUUGAUACUGGCGACCUUGAGUGCAACAGAGGUAGGCGGAAUUCGUGGUGUAGCGGUGAAAUGCUUAGAUAUCACGAAGAACUCCGAUUGCGAAGGCAGCUUACUGGAUUGUAACUGACGCUGAUGCUCGAAAGUGUGGGUAUCAAACAGGAUUAGAUACCCUGGUAGUCCACACAGUAAACGAUGAAUACUCGCUGUUGGCGAUAUACAGUCAGCGGCCAAGCGAAAGCAUUAAGUAUUCCACCUGGGGAGUACGCCGGCAACGGUGAAACUCAAAGGAAUUGACGGGGGCCCGCACAAGCGGAGGAACAUGUGGUUUAAUUCGAUGAUACGCGAGGAACCUUACCCGGGCUUAAAUUGCAACUGACGGAACCG
rnacentral:rRNA from 1 species